CUUCGGGACAGAGGAGACAGGUGGUGCAUGGUUGUCGUCAGCUCGUGUCGUGAGAUGUUGGGUUAAGUCCCGCAACGAGCGCAACCCUUACCUUCAGUAGCCAGCGAGUAAAGUCGGGCACUCUGGAGGGACUGCCAGGGAUAACCUGGAGGAAGGUGGGGAUGACGUCAAAUCAUCAUGCCCCUUAUGAUUUGGGCUACACACGUGCUACAAUGGCGUAAACAAAGGGAAGCGAAGCCGUGAGGUGAAGCAAAUCCCAAAAAUAACGUCUCAGUUCGGAUUGUAGUCUGCAACUCGACUACAUGAAGCUGGAAUCGCUAGUAAUCGCGAAUCAGAAUGUCGCGGUGAAUACGUUCCCGGGUCUUGUACACACCGCCCGUCACACCAUGGGAGUUGGUAACGCCCGAAGUCAGUGACUCAACCGAAAGGGGAGAGCUGCCGAAGGCGGGACUGAUAACUGGGGUGAAGUCGUAACAAGGUAGCCGUAUCGGAAGGUGCGGUUGGAUCACCUC
rnacentral:rRNA from 1 species